GCUGGUGCGAUGAUUAUAAAAACAAAUUCCUCGUUCUGAAUGCUGUGGAAAUUUGGCAUGACAGACUCCUUAUACACCCAUAGAAUAUGAGCACCA